AAUAGAUACCCGGGUAGUCCACGCCGUAAACGAUGAGUGCUAAGUGUUAGAGGGUUUCCGCCCUUUAGUGCUGCAGCAAACGCAUUAAGCACUCCGCCUGGGGAGUACGGUCGCAAGACUGAAACUCAAAGGAAUUGACGGGGGCCCGCACAAGCGGUGGAGCAUGUGGUUUAAUUCGAAGCAACGCGAAGAACCUUACCAGGUCUUGACAUCCUCUGACAACCCUAGAGAUAGGGCUUCCCCUUCGGGGGCAGAGUGACAGGUGGUGCAUGGUUGUCGUCAGCUCGUGUCGUGAGAUGUUGGGUUAAGUCCCGCAACGAGCGCAACCCUUGAUCUUAGUUGCCAGCAUUCAGUUGGGCACUCUAAGGUGACUGCCGGUGACAAACCGGAGGAAGGUGGGGAUGACGUCAAAUCAUUAUGCCCCUUAUGACCUGGGCUACACACGUGCUACAAUGGGCAGAACAAAGGGCAGCGAAGCCGCGAGGCUAAGCCAAUCCCACAAAUCUGUUCUCAGUUCGGAUCGC
rnacentral:rRNA from 1 species